CGUAGGUGGCAAGCGUUGUCCGGAUUUACUGGGCGUAAAGAAUGCGUAGGUGGAUAUUUAAGUGGGAUGUGAAAUCCCCGGGCUCAACCCGGGAACUGCAUUCCAAACUGGAUAUCUGGAGUGCAGGAGAGGAAAGCGGAAUUCCUAGUGUAGCGGUGAAAUGCGUAGAUAUUAGGAGGAACACCAGUGGCGAAGGCGGCUUUCUGGACUGUAACUGACACUGAGGCAUGAAAGCGUGGGGGAGCAAACAGGAUU
rnacentral:rRNA from 1 species